rnacentral:rRNA from 1 species
UACGUAGGGUGCGAGCGUUAAUCGGAAUUACUGGGCGUAAAGCGUGCGCAGGCGGUUUUGUAAGCCAGAUGUGAAAGCCCCGGGCUUAACCUGGGAAUGGCAUUUGGGACUGCAAGGCUGGAGUGCGGCAGAGGAGACUGGAAUUCCCGGUGUAGCAGUGAAAUGCGUAGAUAUCGGGAGGAACACCGGUGGCGAAGGCGGGUCUCUGGGCCGAUACUGACGCUGAGGAGCGAAAGCGUGGGGAGCGAACAGG